rnacentral:snRNA from 1 species
AUCUUUACGGUUGGGGCAAUGACACAGCUAGUGAGGUGAAACCGAGGCGUGUCAAUUGCUGGUUGAAAACUAUUUCCAACCCCCCUCGUUGAUUCGGGGACUCGAGAAAAGUUCUGACAAGGAAAGGGCC